rnacentral:rRNA from 1 species
CAGUCGCCACGGUAAUACAGAGGGUGCGAGCGUUAAUCGGAUUUACUGGGCGUAAAGCGUGCGUAGGCGGCUUCUUAAGUCGGAUGUGAAAUCCCUGAGCUUAACUUAGGAAUUGCAUUUGAUACUGGGAAGCUAGAGUAUGGGAGAGGAUGGUAGAAUUCCAGGUGUAGCGGUGAAAUGCGUAGAGAUCUGGAGGAAUACCGAUGGCGAAGGCAGCCAUCUGGCCUAAUACUGACGCUGAGGUACGAAAGCAUGGGGAGCAAACAGGAUUAGAUACCCCCGUAGUCCCUGUCUCUUAUAC